AUUGAACGCUGGCGGCAUGCUUUACACAUGCAAGUCGAACGGUAACAGGUUAAGCUGACGAGUGGCGAACGGGUGAGUAAUGCAUCGGAACGUGCCCGAUCGUGGGGGAUAACGCAGCGAAAGCUGCGCUAAUACCGCAUACGAUCUGAGGAUGAAAGCGGGGGACCGUAAGGCCUCGCGCGAUCGGAGCGGCCGAUGUCAGAUUAGGUAGUUGGUGGGGUAAAGGCUCACCAAGCCAACGAUCUGUAGCUGGUCUGAGAGGACGACCAGCCACACUGGGACUGAGACACGGCCCAGACUCCUACGGGAGGCAGCAGUGGGGAAUUUUGGACAAUGGGCGAAAGCCUGAUCCAGCAAUGCCGCGUGCAGGAAGAAGGCCUUCGGGUUGUAAACUGCUUUUGUACGGAGCGAAAAGGCCCUCUCUAAUACAGGGGGUUUAUGACGGUACCGUAAGAAUAAGCACCGGCUAACUACGUGCCAGCAGCCGCGGUAACAC
rnacentral:rRNA from 1 species